UACAGAGGUCUCAAGCGUUGUUCGGAUUCAUUGGGCGUAAAGGGUGUGUAGGUGGCGCGCUAAGUCGGGUGUGAAAUUUCGGAGCUUAACUCCGAAACUGCAUUCGAUACUGGCGUGCUUGAGGACUGGAGAGGAGACUGGAAUUUACGGUGUAGUAGUGAAAUGCGUAGAUAUCGUAAGGAAGACCAGUGGCGAAGGCGACUACCUGGCCUGUUCUUGACGCUGAGGCGCGAAAGCUAGGGGAGCAAACGGG
rnacentral:rRNA from 1 species